rnacentral:lncRNA from 1 species
GCGAGCGCAUUCAGUUCUCGAGCUCCAGCCCUCAGCGCAUGCGCAGGACGAGUCGCCUGAGGGAACUGAUCUCAGCUCGGGCCCGCGUUACAUCCUCCUCCUCUUCUUCCUUCGGCCCAGCUUUCCUUAGGGGCUGCAACCCGGACGCCGAGGCCGGUUUCGGAGUGGGGAGUGCCCAUUUUCUCUCCUUCCCACGUUCCUGGCCCCCAGACGCCAUUUGCAGGCGGGUGGCUUGGGUCAGCCUCCCCGCCCCCACCCGACUCCCGUCACGGGAGAGCGCACACCGCGCCCCGAGAACCAAUCAGCAGCCGCGUUAGGAUGCCAGCGAAGAGACAAGCACUUCCGUCAUGCAGAAAACCCCCAUCAUCCUCUCAAAACCUCCAGCAGAGCGGGUGAG